UGGCGAACGGGUGAGUAACGCGUGAGGAACCUGCCUCAAAGAGGGGGACAACAGUUGGAAACGACUGCUAAUACCGCAUAAGCCCACGGCUCGGCAUCGAGCAGAGGGAAAAGGAGCAAUCCGCUUUGAGAUGGCCUCGCGUCCGAUUAGCUAGUUGGUGAGGUAACGGCCCACCAAACCGACGAUGGAUAGGGGUUCUGAGAGGAAGGUCCCCCACAUUGGUACUGAGACACGGACCAA
rnacentral:rRNA from 1 species